UAGCAUAUUAGCAACAUGUGUUGUGCUGAUCAGUAAUUAAGGCUCUUUGUUACGGAGAACCUGAUUUCAUGGAAAAUUCAUGAGGAUAAGAGUGAGCAAUAUCAAUUGUUUAAUUUUAUACAAAUAAACCCCUGCUUAAACUUUUAAUUUCAAAUAUGAAUUUGUUUUGAUGUUACAAUGUAUUCACACAAACUUUUUUUUUCCAUUCAGAGACAUUCUUCUUCAAAUGGAUUAAGGGGACAUCGGAUAAUUAAGGUUUCUCACCUUGUAUAAAUGGUUCUACUUGGAACCCUUUCUGAUAGUGAAACAUACUGUUGUAGGGUUCUACACAGAACCUUUUAAUCAUCCACUCAUCUAUACACUGAGCAGCCUGUGGUUGUAGAUUUAUCCAUCCAUAGUGGUCAUGGACACUCCCUAUUCAAAUAGAGUCGGGUAUAAACAGCAUGUUCUUGACUGUUUUAGUUUCCAGUGAGCUCUGUGAUAGGUAACACUCUCAUACACUUUAAAUCUGGGUGAAGCAGAACUCAGAAGGAUGAUUUUAGGACAUUGUAUUUUAUUUCUUCUCAUUUCAUAUUCUUAUGGACAGUCCCUGACCUCCUCUGCUUCUGUGGUGAAGAGACCUGGAGAGUCAGUCACUCUGUCCUGUACUGUCUCCGGAUUCUCAAUGGGCAGCUACUGGAUGAGCUGGAUCCGUCAGAAACCAGGAAGAGGACUGGAAUGGAUCGGAUACAUUAACACUGGCACUGGCACUGGCUUCGCCCAGUCUCUGCAGGGCCAGUUCUCCAUCACUAAAGACACCAAUAAAAACAUGUUGUACCUAGAAGUGAAGAGUCUGAAAGCUGAAGAUACGGCUGUUUAUUACUGUGCACGAGAGUCACGCUGACACAACAGACUCCAGAGCUGUACAAAAAUUUACACAAGCACAUCCUCAUGAGCUGUAAAUAUUCCCUCAGCAGGAAACUGAACCCCAGAGACAUUUAUUAUAAACAACAUCCAUUCAUUUUAGUGCUCAGAUUUAUUUCUCCUUUUGUCUUACUCCAUUAACAGUCAAAAUUCUCAGCCUUUUCUUUUAUUGUCUCUGGCUGGUGCUUAAAGCUGAAGACAAACAUGAAAGCAACUUUAAUUAUACAUAAAGACAUUAAAUGACAAAACAUUCACUUGCA